rnacentral:rRNA from 1 species
AGAGUUUGCUCCGGGCUCAGAUUACACGGGGGCCGCAGGCCUCACACACACAAGUCGGGCGGUAGCACAGAAAGCUUGUUUCCGGGUGACGAGUGGCGGACGGGUGAGUAAUGUCUGGGGAUCUGCCCGAUAGAGGGGGAUAACCACUGGAAACGGUGGCUAAUACCGCAUAACGUCGCAAGACCAAAGAGGGGGACCUUCGGGCCUCUCACUAUCGGAUGAACCCAGAUGGGAUUAGCUAGUAGGCGGGGUAAUGGCCCACCUAGGCGACGAUCCCUAGCUGGUCUGAGAGGAUGACCAGCCACACUGGAACUGAGACACGGUCCAGACUCCUACGGGAGGCAGCAGUGGGGAAUAUUGCACAAUGGGCGCAAGCCUGAUGCAGCCAUGCCGCGUGUAUGAAGAAGGCCUUCGGGUUGUAAAGUACUUUCAGCGGGGAGGAAGGCGAUGCGGUUAAUAACCGCGUCGAUUGACGUUACCCGCAGAAGAAGCACCGGCUAACUCCGUGCCAGCAGCCGCGGUAAUACGGAGGGUGCAAGCGUUAAUCGGAAUUACUGGGCGUAAAGCGCACGCAGGCGGUCUGUUAAGUCAGAUGUGAAAUCCCCGGGCUUAACCUGGGAACUGCAUUUGAAACUGGCAGGCUUGAGUCUCGUAGAGGGGGGUAGAAUUCCAGGUGUAGCGGUGAAAUGCGUAGAGAUCUGGAGGAAUACCGGUGGCGAAGGCGGCCNC